GUGUUCAAUUCAGCAGCACAUAUACUAAAACCGGAACAAUACAGAGAUGAUUAGAAUGGCCCCUGAAAGAAAGACAUGCAAAUUCAUGAAGUGUUCCAUAUUUUU
ensembl:snRNA Gm25696 U6 spliceosomal RNA